GAUGAACGCUAGCGGCAGGCUUAAUACAUGCAGGUCGAGGGGCAGCAGGACUGUAGCAAUACAGUUGCUGGCGACCGGCAAACGGGUGCGGAACACGUACGCAACCUACCCAUAACUGGGGAAUAGCCCGGGGAAACCCGGAUUAAUACCUCGUAACCUGGUGAAGUGGCAUCACUUUAUCAGUAUAGCUCCGGCGGUUAUGGAUGGGCGUGCGCCUGAUUAGGUAGUUGGCGGGGUAACGGCCCACCAAGCCUGCGAUCAGUAACUGGUGUGAGAGCACGACCAGUCACACGGGCACUGAGACACGGGCCCGACUCCCACGGGAGGCAGCAGUAAGGAAUAUUGGUCAAUGGACGCAAGUCUGAACCAGCCAUGCCGCGUGAAGGAUGAAGGUCCUCUGGAUUGUAAACUUCUUUUAUAGGGGACGAAACCCGGGUAUUCUUACCCGAUUGACGGUACCCUAGGAAUAAGCACCGGCUAACUCCGUGCCAGCCGCCGCGGUAAGAC
rnacentral:rRNA from 1 species